ensembl:lncRNA
CAAAAGCGUAGAUCCACUUACUUUUCCCCCACGGAAUUGGAAAUUCUAAUGAACGUGUAUGCCGAGCAGUUACCCAUUUUAACAAAAAAAAGCAAUACCGCCGCGGCAGCGAGAGCGCGAGAGAGAGCUUGGCAGGAAAUAGCUGAACAAGUCAAUGCCAAAUCGAAAAAAUGCAGAGGCCCGGCAGACUGGAGGGGGUCCACCACCUGCAGCCCUCACAGAGGCUGAGGAGAUGGCCCUCAGCCAACAGAGUAUGCGUCCUGUGGCUGAGGGCAUCCCUGGGGGGAGCUCCUCUGAUCCCCCCCACCCCCCAGGAUAUAAGUGCCUUUACAGUAUAAGAGUUACUGAUGGCGUCAUCGCCCUACUUGAACCAGAUGCCCUCACCAACCUCCAUGCAAUUGUAACAAUUCAAAAGAUGCAAAAGGA